rnacentral:tRNA from 1 species
AGCCCCGUAGUGUAGCGGCCAAAUGGUUUUUCCAAGCCAAUCAUAUCGGACUCUGGAUCCGGUGACCGCGGUUCGAAAGGGGUUCAGACCAGACCUGAGCCCUCGUAUGUCCGCGCGGGGCUA